AAUAAUAGUAGGGGGGC
rnacentral:tRNA from 12 species